GAGUUUGAUCUUGGCUCAGAUUGAACGCUGGCGGCAGGCCUAACACAUGCAAGUCGAGCGGUAGAGAGAAGCUUGCUUCUCUUGAGAGCGGCGGACGGGUGAGUAAUGCCUAGGAAUCUGCCUGGUAGUGGGGGAUAACGCUCGGAAACGGACGCUAAUACCGCAUACGUCCUACGGGAGAAAGCAGGGGACCUUCGGGCCUUGCGCCAUCAGAUGAGCCUAGGUCGGAUUAGCUAGUUGGUGAGGUAAUGGCUCACCAAGGCGACGAUCCGUAACUGGUCUGAGAGGAUGAUCAGUCACACUGGAACUGAGACACGGUCCAGACUCCUACGGGAGGC
rnacentral:rRNA from 1 species